GGAGGGUGCAAGCGUUAUCCGGAUUCACUGGGUUUAAAGGGUGCGUAGGCGGGUUGGUAAGUCCGUGGUGAAAUCUCCGAGCUUAACUCGGAAACUGCCGUGGAUACUAUCAAUCUUGAAUAUCGUGGAGGUAAGCGGAAUAUGUCAUGUAGCGGUGAAAUGCUUAGAGAUGACAUAGAACACCAAUUGCGUAGGCAGCUUACUACACGAUCAUUGACGCUGAGGCACGAAAGCGUGGGGAGCAAACAGGAUUAGAUACCCUGGUAGUCCACGCCCUAAACGAUGGAUACUCGACAUCAGCGAUACACUGUUGGUGUCUGAGCGAAAGCAUUAAGUAUCCCACCUGGGAAGUACGAUCGCAAGAUUG
rnacentral:rRNA from 1 species